AUGGCGUCUCUUUCUGAUGCCAACUCCACCACGAAUGGCGGCGACGCCUCCGUGGCUGCAAGAUCGGAUCUGGGAGAUUUCCUUGAUCAGCUGGAUCUCAACGAUGAAGAGUUUGCUGAUGUUGAGAUUAAUGAGGACGACCCUGUGAUCCAGGAAAGCGUUUGUUGGCUUGCCCUUGCUAGGGUUCAUACAAACAAAAAUUUCAGCCCUUCUGCCUUUUACAAGGAUAUGAGGGCCGCGUGGAACCCGACGCAAAGUGUUAGAUUUCGGCCAGUCGGCCCUAAUUGUUUUGUCGUCCAAGCAUCCUGCUUGGGGGAUUGGGAACACAUCAUGUUUCAGGGUCCAUGGUUGUUUCGUAGUAUGGCGGUGCUCUUGUGCCCGUAUGAUGGUUUCAGCAAAGCAGAGGAGGUAGAAUUCCAUCACCUGCCAUUUUGGCUGCAAAUCCACAAGUUGUCGGACCCAUUCUGCAAACAGAAUAUUGUGGAGAAGCUUCUGAAGAAAUCAGGUGAGAUUAUGGAUAUGCACUUGAAUGGGAAUACAAGGGGUGAUUACAUAAGCGUGAGGGUUAAGCAUGAUAUCCACCUGGAUCUUACAAAAUAUGUCAGUAUUAUUCGUGCCAAGGAACGUCAGGUGUACUUGGUUCGUUAUGAAAAACUUGCCAAAUUUUGUAAGCUAUGUGGCCUCAUUAGCCAUGAUCACAAAGAAUGUGGACCGGGGGUUCACGAUGAGAAGGCGCUCAAGUUCGGUGACUAG
rnacentral:rRNA from 1 species